rnacentral:rRNA from 1 species
CUCCAAGCUACAAAGAGCCAACGGUGGAUGCCUUGGCGCGUGAAGCCGAUGAAGGACGUGGGUGGCUGCGAAAAGCUACGGGGAGCUGCCGACCAAGCUUCGAUCCGUAGAUAUCCGAAUGGGGAAACCCAGCACCCGUCAUGGGGUGUUACUCCUGCCUGAAUAUAUAGGGCAGGUAGAGGGAACCGGGUGAACUGAAACAUCUCAGUAACCCGAGGAAAGUAAAACAACUGUGACUCCCUGAGUAGCGGCGAGCGAAACGGGAUCAGCCCAAACCGACCUGGUGGAAUAGCCUGGUGGCGUUGCCAGUUCGGGGUUGCGGGACCUGAAGGAAGGGGCACCAGACCCUUUACUCGAGUUACAAAACUGAUGCCUAGCGGAAGCGUUUUGGAAAGGCGUGCCGUAGUGGGUAAUAGCCCCGUACGCGAAAGGUAAUCAGUCUCGAUCAGUGUUCCCAAGUAGCGCCGGACCCGAGAAAUCCGGCGUGAAUCUGCGAGGACCACCUCGUAAGGCUAAGUACUUUCACGCGACCGAUAGUGAACUAGUACCGUGAGGGAAAGGUGAAAAGUACCCCGGGAGGGGAGUGAAAUAGUACCUGAAACCGUUGGCUUACAAACAGUCAGAGCGUCGUUCCCGGGUAACCGGGAGCCGUGAUGGCGUGCCUUUUGAAGAAUGAGCCGGCGAGUUACCGUUAGUGGCAAGGUUAACCCGUGAGGGGGAGCCGGAGCGAAAGCGAGUCUGAACAGGGCGUUCAGUCGCUAGCGGUAGACCCGAAGCCGAGUGAUCUUGCCAUGGGCAGGUUGAAGCGGGGGUAAGACCCCGUGGAGGACCGAACCCACCAUGGUUGAAAACAUGGGGGAUGACCUGUGGUAAGGGGUGAAAGGCCAAGCAAACUCGGUGAUAGCUGGUUCUCCCCGAAAUGCAUUUAGGUGCAGCGUCGGGUGAUCAGCGUUGGAGGUAGAGCACUGAAUGGGUUAGGGGGCCUACAAGCUUACCGACCCCAAUCAAACUCCGAAUGCCAACGCUUCAAUAGCCCGGCAGUGAGACCAUGGGGGAUGAGCUUCAUGGUCGAGAGGGAAACAGCCCAGACCGCCAGCUAAGGCCCCUAAUUCUAGGCUAAGUGGAAAACGAUGUGGGAUUGCACAGACAGCCAGGAGGUUGGCUUAGAAGCAGCCACCCUUGAAAGAGUGCGUAAUAGCUCACUGGUCGAGUGGUCCUGCGCGGACAAUGAAACGGGGCUCAAGCCUAGAGCCGAAGCUGCGGAUUUCUUUGCUCUCGAUUCUUUCGAGAGUCAGUGCAGAGGAGUGGUAGGGGAGCGUCGAACGUGCAGCGAAGCGGCCGCAGAAGCGGUCGUGGAGCGCGUUCGAGAGCGAAUGCCGGCAUGAGUAGCGAAAGAGGAGUGAGAAACUCCUCCGCCGAAUGCCCAAGGGUUCCUGGGGAAGGCUAAUCCGCCCAGGGUGAGUCGGGAGCUAAGGCGAGGCCGACAGGCGUAGUCGAUGCACAACUGGUUGAUAUUCCAGUACCACCGUGUCCGCGCCCAUUCCAAGACGGAAUUGCUAAGGGGCUGCUCCUUCGGGAGCGAACCGACCCAUUCCGUGGCGGACAGCGACGGGGAGACGCAGGAGGGUAGAUCAUCCCGGGCGUUGGUUGUCCCGGGGUAAGCGUGUAGGGAGAGGCCUAGGCAAAUCCGGGCCUCAUACAUCCUGAGACGUGAUGCCGAGCCGAUACAGGCGAAGUGAUUGAUCCCAUGCUGCCGAGAAAAGCCUCUAGCGAGCUGACACGGUGCCCGUACCCCAAACCGACGCAGGUGGGCAGGUAGAGAAUACCAAGGCGAUCGGGAGAACAGUGGUUAAGGAACUCGGCAAAAUACCUCCGUAACUUCGGGAGAAGGAGGGCCUCAUAAGGGUGAAGCACUUCGCGUGCCGAGCUCGAAGAGGUCGCAGAGAGCAGGGUGAAGCGACUGUUUACUAAAAACACAGCAGCGUGCGAAGUCGCAAGACGAUGUAUACGCUGUGACGCCUGCCCGGUGCUGGAAGGUUACGGGGAAGGGUUAGUCCGCAAGGGCGAAGCUCUGAACCUAAGCCCCAGUAAACGGCGGCCGUAACUAUAACGGUGGAGUUUCAACUCAGGCCGUUAUAAAACUUGGCUAUAUGCUGGAACGUCCCGUGUAUCUCGCGCUACCAGUUCGUUGUCACACCCUCUUCGUAGGAUGUGGGGAUGAGCGGUGAUAAUGCGGCGAGUGGGGAAAAUCAGCAGGAAACCGCAAGACCGAGACUCGAUCCGAUGUGGAUUGUCGGGUUCGUCGACGGAGAGGGUUGCUUCUCCGUUUCCGUUCACCGGAAUCCGCUCGUUCGUCAGACCCGUGGGUGGCAGUUGCAGCCCACAUUCCAGGUCUACCAACACGAACGGUAUCGAGACGUGCUCGAAGACGUGAUCUCGUUCUUCGGCUGUGGGCGCAUCCGCGCCAAGGGCCCGAAGAGCAGCGUGUUGACCUACGCCGUCGACUCGCUGCGAGAUCUUGAGGAAGGCAUCCUCCCGUUCUUCGAAGCGCACCAGCUCGUCGUGAAGGCAGCCGAUUUCCGGCUGUUCGCAACGAUCGUCCGAUCGAUGCGACGGAAAGAGCACCUCACGCCGGCCGGAUUCGAGCGGGUUGCACGCCUGGCCUACGCGAUGAACGCGCAGGGCAAGCAACGCAGCCGGCCGCUCGCGAUGGUCCUUGCGGGAUCCUCAGAGACUGCACGCCGAGCACCGUCCUUGAACGAGGCGGUGAAGAUACAGUCCGAUCCUCAUGGCGACAUGAGGAGCCAGGCAGAAAUGCCCUGGCCUUCCGAUGCGGCAGAUGGCCGGAUCGGAAGUAACAAGAAUGCCUAAGGUAGCGAAAUUCCUUGUCGGGUAAGUUCCGACCUGCACGAAUGGCGUAACGACUUCACUACUGUCUCAACCACUGACCCGGCGAAAUUGAAGUCCGAGUAAAGAUGC